UCCCUGGUGGUCCAGUGGCUGAGACUCCAUGCUCCCAAAGCAGGACACCCAGGUUCGAUCCCUGGUUAGGGAA
rfam:TPA: Bos taurus chromosome 24, whole genome shotgun sequence.